rnacentral:lncRNA from 1 species
AUCAGUCUGGCUUUGAAGGCCUGAAUAUCGGCCAUUUGCUUUUGCAAUUCAGAAUCCAUUCAAGAUUCCUUGAUUAUUCUUUUGUCAAUCACUGGCUCUCCUAAGGCCACUAUAUUUGGCCUCAUCUGUUUGAACAUCUCAGUGAGUGCGUCCACUGAGAAUGGUUCUUCGCUUUGUACGACAACUUGAGUUUCUUCCCCGUCUUGUACCACUCUGACAGGUCUAUAGUUUCCUUCGUACAUAAACUUUUCCACUGAGUUUGCUUCUGCGACAAAAGGCC